UGAAGCAUGCAAUGAGAGAAGCAGCCUAUUUCUGUGAUGAGCAGCCAUACAAACCCUAUGCAGGUGGCAUGGCACAAGCAUCCAGCUGGCCAUUGUUUUUUGGUAACAUUUUGUUGGUUUUUUUUUCCUGCUGCUUCUGAUACUGCUUAAAUAUUAUUUCAAUUGUUAAAGGUAUUCUUUCAGCAUAAAAUGGAUAGAGCACUCGCAUCAUAAAUACAAAGUUGUCUUUGGUUCAGCUGGGAUGGAGUUGUUUUCCUCCAGUGCCUGCACGAUGCUGUGCUGUGGUUUUAGGAGCAGUGCUGGUAACACAGCCAUGUUCCCAGCUGUCGCUGAGCAGUGCUGCGUGCAGCCAAGGACACUCACUAUUCCCCACUGCCCUACAAUGGGGCACAAGGGGCCGGGAGGGGAUGCAGGGAGGACAGCUGACCCAGCCCAGCCAAAGGGACAUUCCGUACUGUGUGACAUCGUGGGGAGAGCUUAGAAAGGGGGGGAUUCUGCUCUCUUCCUCCUGCUGCUCGGGGUGGGAGGGCAAGCUGGGCAUCUGACAGGGAUGUUUCAUCCCAGCCCACAAGUCCUACUGGGUUUUUUCCCCCUGAUUCUCUGCCCCUCCUGCUGGGAAGAGGAAGCAAGCAGCUGUGUUGGAAGAAGAGUUCUGUAAUGACUGGGAGCAGAUGGGGAGGAUCCAUGCACCCUAUUCUGAACUGCAUUCCCUGAUGCAGCACCAGCUGGGAGCACCCCAGUGGGCAGCAGGGACCGUGCUGCCUUCCAUGCGACUCCAAUAAUCGCUAAUCAUUUUGAAUUGAGGUUUACUGGACUCACACCUUGCUCGCAUAGCCUCAGAGCUGAGGUCUCCUGGCACGUUCAGAGCCGGCGUGGGAGGAGAAAGCUGGAGGGGACAGACAGACAGAGAGCAGGGGGAGGAAAAGGAAGGCAGGAAGGCACCAGCAAUAGGGACACAGGAAACAGAGGUGCCUCAAAUCCUGCAGAUUAUUCAAGAUGGGAUGGACUGAUAAAAGUUUCUCUCUAUGUAAUACUCAUAUUAUUCUAAGAACCUACAAAUCUAGAAUUCCUGACAGACAGCAGGUAUUACACACCUUAGAAGGUGCACUUCUAGAUUUGCAACCGUAUCCCAUUUUGCAGAAACCGAUUCUAUUUCCUACAUAGCAUUAAACAAAGUUUUAAAACCCUUUAGAAAAAGAGCAUUUUCUGCUACAAAAGUUUAAGCCAAGUUAGCCAUUAGUGAUUUCCUAUCCUUGAGAAAUUGUAUGGUUUCUUCAGAUGGGCUGUAAUAACUUCUGGACAACAUCCCUGAUCCACUCAGAAACACCUGGGAAUUCAAUAGGCAUCAGUAGGCAGAGUCCAAUUGAUUUUGGAGAAAGCCAGGACAGGAAAGAAGUAAAUGAGCCACAUAUUACCUUCUUCAUCUGUUUAGCAUAUUAACUUCCUCCAGCAUCUAUAUCAUUAAACAGUUGAUGGCAGCUUUACAGAAGAAGCGAAAACCAACCCAGCUCAAACUGCCACCUCAAAUGCCUCACCUACCAUACAGAAUGUAAUGGGAACAGAACCAGGGAGGGGAUGAGGAAGGGCAGACUGGGGCCAGGGCAGGCAGGGGGAUGAGGAUGGGGCUGGGACAGUUCCCCGGGAAGCACCUGAGAUGCUGACACUGUGGGAAUAUACAACUGGUAAGACUUCAUUCAGCACUUCUACAGUGCUAUCUGAAAGAGCUGCCAGCAGAACAUGAAAGAAAUGCAUGAUGUCCAAUGUCUGCUUCACUCACAAAAUCAGCACUGCUUGAAGUACUACAGUUUGUCUUUCUUUGCUUUGGCACAGUUGUUUUCUGAGAAGUUUUAUUCCUCGACAGAAGAAAUAAUUGCAAAAUUCUCAUUUGCUUGCUUUGAUGUGAAUUUAGCACUGCAAUAAAGGCAUUUGUUUAUCAAGUUUCCACUGAUCAUAAAAUGCUUUCCAAUGAAUGAUAAGCAUAAGGAGCCCUCACACUCCAGCCCAAACAGUCAAAUGCCUUUAGGUGUACAGCACUUACAUCAUCUGCAUUGACCUGAAGAUGUUCUACAGGAGGAAUGCAUGAUUCUGAAUGGGCACCAACUUGCAAGACAACGUAUGGAAGGGCACAUCACCCAAGCAUGCUCUGCGCCCCUUUCCAAAGCCUCCAGCUGUCACAGCCAUCCUUCUCACCCCACCUCUGCUAUGCACUGUUCACACAGGUGAAGCUCCUUCCCUGCACAGCCUGGAGUUGGUCCUGCUGGCUCCUGCUGCCAGAGCAUCCCUGCCAUGACACAGAUGGCCCUUAAACACUAACAACGAUCUACUAAUGGCUCUACGGGGUUAAUUAACUGUUUAUUUUUUGGAGAUAAUAGAAUUUUCAACGAGGAACAUCAGCAUUAUCUUUAGUGCCACCUCUUCAAAAGGGAGA